rnacentral:rRNA from 1 species
UACAGAGGUGGCAAGCGUUGUUCGGAAUUACUGGGCGUAAAGGGCGAGUAGGCGGCCUUCUAAGUCAGACGUGAAAUCCCCCGGCUUAACCUGGGAACUGCGUCUGAUACUGGGAGGCUCGAGUAUGGGAGAGGGAUGUAGAAUUCCAGGUGUAGCGGUGAAAUGCGCAGAUAUCAGGAGGAACACCGGUGGCGAAGGCGGUUCUCUGGGCAUGUCCUGACGCUGAGGAGCGAAAGUGUGGGGAGCGAACAGG